GACGAACGCUGGCGGCGUGCCUAAUACAUGCAAGUCGAACGAACCGCGACUAGGUGCUUGCACUUGGUCAAGGUGAGUGGCGAACGGGUGAGUAACACGUGGGUAACCUACCUCAUAGUGGGGGAUAACAGUCGGAAACGACUGCUAAUACCGCAUAGGACAUGGGAUCACAUGAUUCGGUGAGGAAAGGUGGCGCAAGCUAUCGCUAAGAGAUGGACCCGCGGGGCAUUAGCUAGUUGGUAGGGUAACGGCCUACCAAGGCGAUGAUGCAUAGCCGACCUGAGAGGGUGAUCGGCCACAUUGGGACUGAGACACGGCCCAAACUCCUACGGGAGGCAGCAGUAGGGAAUCUUCCGCAAUGGACGCAAGUCUGACGGAGCAACGCCGCGUGAGUGAAGAAGGUCUUCGGAUCGUAAAGCUCUGUUGUUAGAGAAGAACAGCGCAUAGAGUAACUGUUAUGCGUGUGACGGUAUCUAACCAGAAAGCCACGGCUAACUACGUG
rnacentral:rRNA from 1 species